AGCAGCCGCGGUAAUUCCAGCUCCAAUAGCGUAUAUUAAAGUUGUUGCAGUUAAAAAGCUCGUAGUUGAAUUUUAGGCCUGGCCGGGCGGUCCGUCUUUGGCGAGUACUGUUCUGUGUCGGGUCUUACCUUCUGGUGAACCGGCAUGCUCUUUAUUGAGUGUAUCGGGGAGCCAGGACCAUUACCUUGAAAAAUUGAGUGUUUAAAGCGGGCAUUUGCUUGAAUAGAUUAGCAUGGAAUAAUAGAAUAGGACGUUGGUUCUAUUUUGUUGGUCUAGGACCACCGUAAUGAUUAAUAGGGAUAGUUGGGGGCAUUAGUAUUCAAUUGUCAGAGGUGAAAUUCUU
rnacentral:rRNA from 1 species